rnacentral:rRNA from 1 species
UACGUAGGGUGCAAGCGUUAAUCGGAAUUACUGGGCGUAAAGCGCACGUAGGCGGUUGGUUAAGUCAGAUGUGAAAGCCCCGGGCUCAACCUGGGAAUUGCAUUUGAAACUGGCCAACUAGAGUACGUGAGAGGGGGGUAGAAUUCCAAGUGUAGCGGUGAAAUGCGUAGAGAUUUGGAGGAAUACCAGUGGCGAAGGCGGCCCCCUGGCACGAUACUGACGCUCAGGUGCGAAAGCGUGGGGAGCAAACAGG